rnacentral:lncRNA from 10 species
CUCCUGCCCCAGGCAAAGGGCUGAUUUCCUGAGUACACAUUAAUCUGAGCUCCCUCAGCCCUAGGGGUAGGGGGAUUGGGGGCACAAGAUGGGUGGAGCCAGAUAGGGAAGAUUCCCCCAGUGUUGUCCUGCUCCCAGUCCAGGUUUGGGACAAUGCCGGCAGCGUUUCCCUGUGUCUUUCCCCCACAAAGUCUCCAAGUCUCUCCUCAAAUGAGCUCCAAGGCUUGGGAGAAACAAUCUCUUCCUCUGCCCGGGUUGCGUGGAUCUCCAGUGGAAAGGAAGAACCGGAACUAUGAUUUGUGCCUUCCUUAUUGCCUCCGAAAUAUUUUUAACUGCAGAGGAAAGCCUGUAUUAUUUUGGAGAAAGGCGAACAGAUAAAACGCACAGCAGUAAAUUUCAGGGACUAGAAACUCCUUCUCAGUUGUAGGAGAAGGAAGCGUGGGAGCACAAGCAGCUUGAGGGCCCUGGUGUUUUACAGCCCUUAGGGAAAGGUGGAGAAUCUAGUGGCAGAAGCUAAGGGGAUGCUAGGUGGAGCUCCUUCAACAACUCUCCCCACACAUCUCCUCAUCCCCAUUUCUUCUGCAGUCAUGCAUAGUUUCCCUAACUUUAGUCCAGAACUAGCACAUCAAAGCUGCAACUGAAUCUCUUCUGAUUCACUGAAAAAGCAACAAAGGGAUUCAGCUGCACGUUUGAGAGCUGUUGGCAAGACCUCAGGACAGAGUGCCCUCUGUGUCUGGUGGUGAUUCUCAGACACCAUCACAUUCUGAUCCUGCAUUGUUAGCCAUUCUACUGACUACAUCUACUCCUAAGUUAAGGACUUUCUUGAGCCUAUCUCAUGACUGGCCCUUUCUGAAGGGAAGUAUGGCAGCUAGUUACUUUAAUGAGCAUUUCCCAAUGGGUAAGGAACAGUCUGUGAACCUAUGAGUUUUGUUUUGUUUUGUUUUGUUUUUAAUUUUUGAGACAGAGUCUCGCUCUGUCGCCCAGACUAGAGUGCAGUGGUGCAAUCUCAGCUCACUGCAACCUCGACGUCUUGGGUUCAAGCGAUUCUCCUGCCUCAGCCUCCCAAGUGGCUGGGAUUAUAGGUGCCCAUCACCACGCAUGGCCUAUUUUUGUAUUUUUAGUAGAGACAAGGUUUCACCCUGUUGGCGAGGCUGGUCUCAAACUCCUGACGCCCAGUGAUCUGCCCACCUCGGCCUCCCAAAGUGCUGGGAUUACAGGCGGGAGCCACCAUGAUGGCCAACUUUUGAAUUCUGAACCAGUUGAUUGAGUACCAGAGCUCUUCAAUACCUUGAAGAAAGAUUCAGGGGAGAGCCGUUGUGAACAGCUUGCCCCAGGGAAAGGACAAGGCUGAGAGAAUUCCAGGGCUUCCUUGAGAAAACAGAAUUGAGGAAAUGCAAAGUGAAGAAUUCUAGCAUCAGGAACAAGAGAAGAAUGAUGGAAAACCUGCUACUGAGGUAUGGAGGUAUUCCUCUGGAGUUUUCACUUAUACCAUUCUCUCAUGCCCAGGAAGCUGCUCUUCACCAAACCACAAGCCUUCCUCUAACUCAGUCACAACUAAGCUUCUAUCUGGACACUGAUGAUGCUGUAACUGUUUUGUUGUGCUUCUGAUUAGUUGCCCUCUCAACCAUAAGCAGCCUAUAAACAGGGCCUGGCUCCAUCCUUGUUACUUCCCCAUUGCAUAUGUUGGAUAUUUUGCACAAGUGAAACAUCUCUACAACUGGAAUCUCCCUCCAAGACGGAUACUCUUUAUAAUAAGAUUCAUUAUUUAUUCGAUUCGUGGUGUUGGAACAGGCGAUGUAUGUGAUCUAAAAUUCCAAAUAGUAAUGGAGAAAAAGAUACUGCAUGACAUUGAAACAGCUGGUGUAUUAACUAAUGUAUAUGACAGUCCAUCUCUGUACGAUGAUGUGAAAGUGCAGUUUUUCUCUUCGAAUCUUCCUAAAUACUAUGACAAUUGUUCAUUUUUCUUCUGGUUCAACACAUCUUUUAUUCAAAAUAACAGGCUUUAUCUACCAAGAAAUGAAUUGGAUAAUCCACAUCAACAAAAAGCAUGGAAAAUUUAUCCACCAGAAUUUGCCGUGGAGAUACUUUUUGGCGAGAAAUGACUUCCAAUGACGUAGCUGGAUCCGAUUAAGUAUAGUUUCCCCUUCCCCUUCUGGGAAAGAAUUAAUGUUCUUUCCAACCCCUGCCAUGUGCAUGUUCAUAUGUCCUAAGUCUUCCUUGAUGAUGUAUCUAUAUUUAUAUAUGUUUAUAUAUGUUCUUCAUAAAUCUAUUAAAUAUAUAUAGAUAAA